AAGUACCCGCACGAGCGCAACCCUUGCCUUACGUUGCCAGCAGUUCGGCUGGGCGACUCUAAAGGGACUGACCGGUGUUAAACCGGAGGAAGGUGGGGAUGACGUCAAGUCCUCAUGGCCUUUAUGACCAGGGCUACACACGUACUACAAUGGCCGAUACAAAGGGCAGCGACACUGCGAGGUGAAGCCAAUCCCGUAAAAUCGGUCUCAGUCCGGAUUGGAGUCUGCAACUCGACUCCAUGAAGUUGGAAUCGCUAGUAAUCGUGGAUCAGCAUGCCACGGUGAAUACGUUCCCGGGCCUU
rnacentral:rRNA from 1 species